GGGGGUGCACCGGUUUCGACGGAUACGGGAAAGCUUGUACUGCAGGUAAGGCCGCGUUUCCUUUGAAAACGCAAAAAAACAUAACUGCCAAACGUGAAGAAGACUUCGUGUCUGAAGACGAACAGUUAGCUCUUGCUGCGUAAGCGGCGACUUAAAGAGCCGGAAACCCGUCCGCGCCGCUCUGAGCUGGCGGGAUUUCCGUCGUAAACCGGAGCUUGCUGCGUACAGUGUCCGAUAUGUACGCAGGACAUCUAUCGGAAUACGGAGCGGACACCUGCUGUGCCGUUAAACGCUCCCGACAAUCACCUCGCACAGCUACACCUGUAGAUGUACCUGUUUUACGUACCCGGACGGGGGUUCAAUUCCCCCCAUCUCCAAAA
rfam:Treponema socranskii subsp. socranskii VPI DR56BR1116 = ATCC 35536 strain VPI DR56BR1116 ctg120007787816, whole genome shotgun sequence.